CCUACGGGUGGCAGCAGUGGGGAAUUUUGCGCAAUGCUCGUAAGAGUGACGCAGCGACGCCGCGUGAAUGACGAAGGCCUUCGGGUCGUAAACCUCUGUCAGCAGGGAAGAACGGUCACUGUGCUAAUCAGCAGUGAAUUGACGGUACCUGCAAAGGAAGCACCGGCUAACUCCGUGCCAGCAGCCGCGGUAAUACGGAGGGUGCGAGCGUUAAUCGGAAUUACUGGGCGUAAAGCGCUCGUAGGCGGUAUGUCAAGUCAAGGGUGAAAUCCCCGCGCUCAACGUGGGAACUGCCUUUGAAACUGGCAAACUGGAGUGUGUGAGAGGAUAGUGGAAUUCCAGGUGUAGGAGUGAAAUCCGUAGAUAUCUGGAGGAACAUCAGUGGCGAAGGCGACUAUCUGGCACAUAACUGACGCUGAGGAGCGAAAGCGUGGGUAGCAAACAGGAUUAGAUACCCUUGUAGUC
rnacentral:rRNA from 1 species